AUCAGCGGUGGCCUGGGGUACCUAAUGGCGGCCUCCCUCACAUCCGCGGCCGGUUGGUAUUCGAGACCUCUGCUGAUCC
rnacentral:precursor_RNA from 1 species